UUGCCCUAGUAACGGCGAGUGAAGCGGCAACAGCUCAAAUUUGAAAUCUGGCGUAAGCCCGAGUUGUAAUUUGUAGAGGAUGCUUCUGGGUAGCGACCGAUCUAAGUUCCUUGGAACAGGACGUCAUAGAGGGUGAGAAUCCCGUAUGUGACCGGCCCGCACCCUUUACGUAGCUCCUUCGACGAGUCGAGUUGUUUGGGAAUGCAGCUCUAAAUGGGAGGUAAAUUUCUUCUAAAGCUAAAUACCGGCCAGAGACCGAUAGCGCACAAGUAGAGUGAUCGAAAGAUGAAAAGUACUUUGGAAAGAGAGUUAAAAAGCACGUGAAAUUGUUGAAAGGGAAGCGCCUGCAACCAGACUUCGUGGCAGUGUUCCGCCGGUCUUCUGACCGGUUUAUUCUCUGUCGCGAGGCCAUCAUCGUCUAGGCCCGCCGGAUAAGACCUUAGGAAUGUAGCUCACCUUCGGGGGAGUGUUAUAGCUUAUGGUGAUGCGGCGAGGCUUGGGCGAGGUCCGCGCUUCGGCAAGGAUGAUGGCGUAAUGGUUGUCGGCGGCCCGUCUUGAAACACGGACCAAGGAGUCUAACAUCUAUGCGAGUGUUCGGGUGUCAAACCCCUACGCGUAAUGAAAGUGAACGGAGGUGGGAACCGCAAGGUGCACCAUCGACCGAUCCUGAUGUCCUCGGAUGGAUUUGAGUAAGAGCAUAGCUGUUGGGACCCGAAAGAUGGUGAACUAUGCCUGAAUAGGGUGAAGCCAGAGGAAACUCUGGUGGAGGCUCGCAGCGGUUCUGACGUGCAAAUCGAUCGUCAAAUUUGGGUAUAGGGGC
rnacentral:rRNA from 1 species